UACGAAGGGGGCAAGCGUUGUUCGGAAUUACUGGGCGUAAAGGGCGCGUAGGCGGCUUACCAAGUCAGGCGUGAAAUUCCCGGGCUCAACCUGGGGGCUGCGCUUGAUACUGGUGAGCUUGAAUGCGGGAGAGGAUAGUGGAAUUCCCAGUGUAGAGGUGAAAUUCGUAGAUAUUGGGAAGAACACCGGUGGCGAAGGCGGCUAUCUGGCCCGUAAUUGACGCUGAGGCGCGAAAGCGUGGGGAGCAAACAGGG
rnacentral:rRNA from 1 species